rnacentral:tRNA from 1 species
UCCCUGGUGGUCUAGUAGUUAAUGAUCAUGCGCUCUUACCGCCGUGGCCUGGGUUCGAUCCCUGGGCAGGGAA